rnacentral:rRNA from 1 species
AACGAACGCUGGCGGCAUGCCUAACACAUGCAAGUCGAACGAGACCUUCGGGUCUAGUGGCGCACGGGUGCUUAACGCGUGGGAACCUGCCCUUAGGUUCGGAAUACCUCCCCGAAAGGGGUGCUAAUACCGGAUAAUGUCUUCGGACCAAAGAUUUAUCGCCUUUGGAUGGGCGCUCGUUGGAUUAGCUAGUUGGUAGGGUAAAAGCCUACCAAGGCGACGUUCCAUAGCUGGUCUGAGAGGAUGACCAGCUACACUGGGACUGAGACACGGCCCAGACUCCUACGGGAGGGAGCAGUGGGGAAUAUUGGAGAAGGGGCGAAAGCCUGAUCCAGCAAUGCCGCGUGAGUGAUGAAGGCCUUAGGGUUGUAAAGCUCUUUUAGCCGGGAUGAUAAUGACAGUACCGGGAGAAUAAGCUCCGGCUAACUCCGUG